rfam:Oceanospirillum multiglobuliferum strain ATCC 33336 NODE_1_length_329238_cov_457.578, whole genome shotgun sequence.
GUUCACCGCCACGCAGGCGGCUUAGAAA